GCUACACAGAGAAAUCCUGUUUUGUAAAACAAACAAAACAAAACAAAAAAAGAGUUAUAGUAUGUAGUCAUUGCUACAGUGAGGAUACAGCUCUGUUCAUGGCAGUGUUACGUGUAUAUUGUGAAUGGCAGCCACUAAAGCCACUGUAUAUAAUUCCCAGUUGAGUUUCAAAAAGACUGAAUUUCCAUGCAAGACGAUCUGUUUCACAGUAAAGUUUAUUGCAGUUCACCUCCUUUGGAAUUCUGAGUACAGAUGAAAAUGACCAAGCCGGACAGUCAUCUACAUAUGCCUUUGAAAGCAGGGCCCUUUCAGUCCAAGUUGCCUGUCACAGCUAGCCAGCCAAGGUGAGACCUACAUGGAGUCUCCUGGGUCAGUGUCCUCUCUACCUGCCAGAGCAGCUGCAGUGCUCACCAAGAAACAGGGUGGCCACCGUAUGGAAGCCAAGCUGUAAUGACAGUCACAGAGAUGCAGGCAGAUGACAGCAUCCUUCUACAGAGGAGGAGAGCAGGAUUUAGAGCCAGGGAGGGUGCUGAGUGCCCACCUCCAUCAGCAGACUUCCGACGGGGGUAGUUUUCAUCCCAAACCCAGCUAGCCCUGAGGUCUUGCAUAUUACAAUCCAGUUUGGUCCAGUCUGGUAAAGUACAAACACGGUUUGUGUCUGCGACUGCAGGAUGUUGUCUGAUUCUGUCGAGCACCUACUUGGCCACCGAGUUGCUUGUGAUCUACGGCAGCUGCCGUUCCCCAGGAUGUUAUGUUUGGUCUCUUAAUCAGCAUCUUGCUGAGUUGAAAGCUAAAGGCAAAGGCCUCUGGAGGAAGCAGACAUGACUUCUGCAGGGAAGGAUUACAGCAAAUGCCCAUCAGAUGGGAAGUGGUGACUUCGUUUCUCAGGAGUCAUUGCCUCUCACCUGGGUCAAAGACUAGACCCUAACCUUAGUCUUCAAGUACUGGAUGGCAUCAGAACAGCACUGAGACCUUGUUUGCGGAGGCGCAGCUACCAGGGGGCAACCUGGAGAGAGUGGGCCAUAGCUGCAGAGCACAUAGCAGCCAUAGCUGCACGAGACAAGGAUGACUCACACUAGCUGUGUGACAUCUGAAAUACUUUGUUUAAAACUGUUUCAGCACUAGUCGGGUUAAGAAGACCCAAACUCAAAGGUGAAGUUUAAAAUCUCAUUCCUCUCUAUAUUAUGGCAAAUACUGUAGUUUAAGUCCACAGCCAUUUUGUGAAAGUCGGUUAAAACCCUGUUCCACUUCCCUCAGAGAUUUAGUAGCAACUGCCCAGACUGCCUUCUAUACUGAAAUAAAAUUAUAACUAAUAUCCAAACAGAAAAUAAAUGUAACUACUUGUAAAUUUUAGAACACUUUUCAAAGAGAAACCAGUUUUUCAGUUUGAUGAAAAUGAGCAUAUACAAAGCUUUGUGGUGAGGCCAGUGCUGUAAUCAGAAGAAAAGUCAUUGCUAGAAUGCUGUCACUACAUCAGAAAGAAUUAAAAAAACUACAUC
rnacentral:lncRNA from 1 species